rnacentral:rRNA from 1 species
UACGGAGGGUGCAAGCGUUGUUCGGAAUUACUGGGCUUAAAGCGCGUGUAGGCGGGAUUCCAAGUGUCGUGUGAAAGCCCCGGGCUCAACCCGGGAACUGCGCGGCAAACUGGUUUUCUUGAGGCAAGUAGAGGUGACUGGAACGACCGGUGGAGCGGUGAAAUGCGUAGAUAUCGGUUGGAACGCCGGAGGCGAAAGCGGGUCACUGGGCUUGUCCUGACGCUAAGACGCGAAAGCGUGGGGAGCAAACAGG